UCUGGAGGCGGCAAAGGACGCUCAGCACUGCCAUCAAUGUUGAACUUGGCUGCUUGGAUUUUCAGUCCACGUUGGAGAUCACUCACAAAGCAAGUGCGAACUUUUAUGUCCUCUACUACGUCUUCAGGAACAGAGCCCAUUACAGAUGGAAGGCUUUGUCCUUUGGCUAAUCCUGUAUCAACCGUGCACUGCUCCAACAGCCGAUACUCCAGCUCCCUAAAAUAUGGCAGAUUAAGUCACGUAAAGACAGCUAUUAACACACAGUGACUCCCCAUGCUAUGCUUAUCAUACAGUAUUUAC
rnacentral:lncRNA from 1 species